GACGAACGCUGGCGGCGCGCCUAACACAUGCAAGUCGAACGGAGUCAAGAGGAGCUUGCUUUUCUUGACUUAGUGGCGAACGGGUGAGUAACGCGUGAGUAACCUGCCCUGGAGUGGGGGACAACAGUUGGAAACGACUGCUAAUACCGCAUAAGCUCACGGAUCCGCAUGGAUCUGCGGGAAAAGGAUUUAUUCGCUUCAGGAUGGACUCGCGUCCAAUUAGCUAGUUGGUGAGGUAACGGCCCACCAAGGCGACGAUUGGUAGCCGGACUGAGAGGUUGACCGGCCACAUUGGGACUGAGACACGGCCCAGACUCCUACGGGAGGCAGCAGUGGGGGAUAUUGCACAAUGGGGGAAACCCUGAUGCAGCGGCGCCGCGUGGAGGAAGAAGGUUUUCGGAUUGUAAACUCCUGUCGUAAGGGACGAUAAUGACGGUACCUAACAAGAAAGCACCGGCUAACUACGUG
rnacentral:rRNA from 1 species